GUGCUCGCUGCGGCAGCACAUGUACUAAAAUGGGAACAAUGCAGAGAAGAUUAGCGUGGCCCCUGCACAAGAGGGACAUGCAAAUUGUGAAGCAUUCCAUGUUUUU
rnacentral:snRNA from 1 species